GUUAAUAAUUUAUAUAAAAUAUUUUGAUGAAUAUUUAUAUAAUAUUAACAUAAUUCAUAUUACUAUUUUUUUUUUUAGUAUAUGAAAUUUUACUUUGAGAAAAUUAGAGUGCUUAAAGCAGGCAUAUGCCUUGAAUACUCCAGCAUGGAAUAAUAUUAAAGAUUUUUAUCUUUUUUAUUGGUUCUARGAUAAGAAUAAUGAUUAAUAGGGACAGUUGGGGGCAUUUGUAUUUAACAGUCAGAGGUGAAAUUCUUAGAUUUGUUAAAGACAAACUAAUGCGAAARCAUUUGCCAAGGAUGUUUUCAUUAAUCAAGAACGAAAGUUAGGGGAUCGAA
rnacentral:rRNA from 1 species